CUACGGGGCGCAGCAGUGAGGAAUAUUGCACAAUGGGGGGAACCCUGAUGCAGCAACGCCGCGUGGAGGAUGACGCAUUUCGGUGUGUAAACUCCUUUUAUAUGUCAAGAAAAUGACGGUAGCAUAUGAAUAAGCACCGGCUAACUCCGUGCCAGCAGCCGCGGUAAUACGGAGGGUGCAAGCGUUACUCGGAAUCACUGGGCGUAAAGGACGCGUAGGCGGGUUGGAAAGUCAGGUGUGAAAUCCUACAGCUUAACUGUAGAACUGCACUUGAAACUUCUAAUCUAGAGUAUGGGAGGGGGAGAUGGAAUUAGUGGUGUAGGGGUAAAAUCCGUAGAUAUCACUAGGAAUACCUAAAGCGAAGGCGAUCUCCUGGAACAUUACUGACGCUAAGGCGUGAAAGCGUGGGGAGCAAACAGGAUUAGAUACCCUCGUAGGU
rnacentral:rRNA from 1 species